AGCAUAGUUAGUUAAUUCGGAUUCGGCAAAAAUUCGGUACGGGUAUAAUUCGGAUAAAAUUCGUCUUCUAAUUUUUAAAUUCGUUGAAAAAAAGGCUAAAAAACGGAUUCGCCAAUUAUUCGGAUACGUGAUUUAUACGGAUAUUAUACGUUCACCAAUUAAAAAUUCGGGAUCAAAAAUUCGGCUAUUAAAUUAAGUUUUUUUUUCUCUCAAGAUUUAUGCUAUUAGCAUAAAUAUUCAUAGUUUUUAAGAAUAUAAGAAUAAAGAGCUACAAAAUUAAACUAAGUUAGUAAAAAAAAUAGUAAACUAUAUUAUGCCUCAAAAUAAAGAAAUAAUUAAGCAAAUAGAGAUCAAGAUAGUCCAUAUUUAAAUUGCUGCAUUUCUAAUACUAAAAAGUUAUGUUUCAAAAAUUAAGUAGAAACCCCAUUGAGUCAAUGGUCCAUGAAAGACCACAACAAAAUUUUCCUUUUGCAAGUGUCGACAGUAUAAGAUCAUGAAAUUGAUUAGGUAUAAUAGAAGAGUUCCUGGUCCCUAAGUUAAUUAAGAUUAUUUAGCUCUGUGUUUGGGUCUUCUUUGUGCAUAACAGAGAAUGGACACAUUCAAUUAAGCACUCGAGAUUAAGUUAUNCUUUUGCAAGUGUCGACAGUACAAGAUCAUGAAAUUGAUUAGGUAUAAUAGAAGAGUUCCUGGUCCCUAAGUUAAUUAAGAUUAUUUAGCUCUAUGUUUGGGUCUUCUUUGUGCAUAACAGAGAAUGGACACAUUCAAUUAAGCACUCGAGAUUAAGUUAUUGCCCAAAAUAAAAAUUUAAAAUCAAUAUGCGAAUCUGUACAAAUAAACUAGAAAAUGAUGAUUUAAUCCUCGACUAUAUCAAUAUGCGAAUCCGAAUUAACUAACUAACUAUGAAUUAACUAACUAUGAUUUAAUCCUCUUCGAUCUUCGAUUUCUGAAGAGGAGGGCUUCCGAUGGCGUUCGGCGAGCGGCCGGAAGGGAAGAGGGGGAGGGGAAGGGACCGCGACCGCCGCAGGGUCGGUGGUAGGGCCACGCGCCGCACCGCCGCAGGGGUGAGAAGUUAGGGCAAACCCUUUUUUUGGGAGGGGUGUGGGACUCGUGGUGGG
rnacentral:lncRNA from 1 species